AGAGUUUGAUCAUGGCUCAGAUUGAACGCUGGCGGCAUGCCUUACACAUGCAAGUCGAACGGCAGCACGGGGGCAACCCUGGUGGCGAGUGGCGAACGGGUGAGUAACACAUCGGAACGUGUCCUGUUGUGGGGGAUAACUAGUCGAAAGAUUAGCUAAUACCGCAUAAGCUGGAGACAGGAAAGCAGGGGACUCGCAAGGGCCUUGCGCGAUUGGAGCGGCCGAUGUCCGAUUAGCUAGUUGGUGGGGUAAAGGCCUACCAAGGCGACGAUCGGUAGCUGGUCUGAGAGGAUGAUCAGCCACACUGGGACUGAGACACGGCCCAGACUCCUACGGGAGGCAGCAGUGGGGAAUUUUGGACAAUGGGGGCAACCCUGAUCCAGCCAUGCCGCGUGAGUGAAGAAGGCCUUCGGGUUGUAAAGCUCUUUCGGUGGGAACGAAACGGUGUAGGUCAAUACCCUGCACUCCUGACGGUACCUACAGAAGAAGCACCGGCUAACUACGUGCCACCAGCCGCGGUAAUACGUAGGGUGCGAGCGUUAAUCGGAAUUACUGGGCGUAAAGCGUGCGCAGGCGGCGCGUUAAGACAGGUGUGAAAGCCCCGAGCUUAACUUGGGAAUUGCGCUUGUGACUGGCGUGCUGGAGUGUGGCAGAGGGAGGUGGAAUUCCACGUGUAGCAGUGAAAUGCGUAGAGAUGUGGAGGAACACCGAUGGCGAAGGCAGCCUCCUGGGCCAGCACUGACGCUCAUGCACGAAAGCGUGGGGAGCAAACAGGAUUAGAUACCCUAGUAGUCC
rnacentral:rRNA from 1 species